rnacentral:rRNA from 1 species
GAACGCUGGCGGCGUGCCUAAUACAUGCAAGUCGAGCGAACAGAUGAGAAGCUUGCUUCUCUGAUGUUAGCGGCGGACGGGUGAGUAACACGUGGGUAACCUACCUAUAAGACUGGGAUAACUCCGGGAAACCGGGGCUAAUACCUGAUAAUAUUUUGAACCGCAUGGUUCGAUAGUGAAAGGCGGCUUCGGCUGUCACUUAUAGAUGGACCCGCGCCGUAUUAGCUAGUUGGUAAGGUAAUGGCUUACCAAGGCGACGAUACGUAGCCGACCUGAGAGGGUGAUCGGCCACACUGGAACUGAGACACGGUCCAGACUCCUACGGGAGGCAGCAGUAGGGAAUCUUCCGCAAUGGGCGAAAGCCUGACGGAGCAACGCCGCGUGAGUGAUGAAGGUUUUCGGAUCGUAAAACUCUGUUGUUAGGGAAGAACAAAUUUGUUAGUAACUGAACAAGUCUUGACGGUACCUAACCAGAAAGCCACGGCUAACUACGUGCCAGCAGCCGCGGUAAUACGUAGGUGGCAAGCGUUAUCCGGAAUUAUUGGGCGUAAAGCGCGCGUAGGCGGUUUCUUAAGUCUGAUGUGAAAGCCCACGGCUCAACCGUGGAGGGUCAUUGGAAACUGGGGAACUUGAGUGCAGAAGAGGAGAGUGGAAUUCCAUGUGUAGCGGUGAAAUGCGCAGAGAUAUGGAGGAACACCAGUGGCGAA